CAAAACCCCACUUCCUAAGGCCUAGAAGGAGCGACAUGAAGGAACAAGACCCUGCAGAUGGAGAAGAUCAAGGCUCGUUUGAAGGCUGAGUUUGAGGCACUUGAGUCAGAGGAAAGGCACCUGAAGGAAUACAAGCAGGAGAUGGACCUUCUGCUACAGGAGAAGAUGGCCCAUGUGGAGGAACUCCGACUGAUCCACGCUGACAUCAAUGUGAUGGAAAACACUAUCAAACAAUCUGAGAAUGACCUAAACAAGCUGCUAGAGUCUACAAGGAGGCUGCAUGAUGAGUAUAAGCCACUGAAAGAACAUGUGGAUGCCCUGCGCAUGACUCUGGGCCUGCAGAGGCUCCCUGACUUGUGUGAAGAAGAGGAGAAGCUUUCCUUGGAUUACUUUGAGAAGCAGAAAGCAGAAUGGCAGACGGAACCUCAGGAGCCCCCCAUCCCUGAGUCCCUGGCCGCUGCAGCCGCUGCCGCCCAACAGCUCCAAGUGGCUAGGAAGCAGGACACUCGGCAGACGGCCACCUUCAGGCAGCAGCCCCCACCUAUGAAGGCCUGCUUGUCAUGUCACCAGCAAAUUCACCGGAAUGCACCUAUAUGCCCUCUAUGC
rnacentral:sRNA from 1 species